rnacentral:rRNA from 1 species
GACGAACGCUGGCGGCGUGCUUAACACAUGCAAGUCGAACGGUAAGGCCCUUCGGGGUACACGAGUGGCGAACGGGUGAGUAACACGUGGGUGAUCUGCCCUGCACUUCGGGAUAAGCCUGGGAAACUGGGUCUAAUACCGGAUAGGACUCCGGACUGCAUAGUCUGGGGUGGAAAGCUUUUGCGGUGUGGGAUGGGCCCGCGGCCUAUCAGCUUGUUGGUGGGGUGAUGGCCUACCAAGGCGACGACGGGUAGCCGGCCUGAGAGGGUGACCGGCCACACUGGGACUGAGAUACGGCCCAGACUCCUACGGGAGGCAGCAGUGGGGAAUAUUGCACGAUGGGCGCAAGCCUGAUGCAGCGACGCCGCGUGAGGGAUGACGGCCUUCGGGUUGUAAACCUCUUUCAGCAUCGACGAAGCGAAAGUGACGGUAGGUGCAGAAGAAGGACCGGCCAACUACGUGCCAGCCGCCGCGGUAA